rnacentral:rRNA from 1 species
GAUGAACGCUGGCGGCGUGCUUAACACAUGCAAGUCGAACGAGAAGUGAAGACGGAACCCUUCGGGCGGAAGGCUUUAUUUCGAGUGGCGGACGGGUGAGUAACGCGUGGGUAACCUGCCUCAUACAGGGGGAUAACAGUUGGAAACGACUGUUAAUACCGCAUAAGACCACAGCACCGCAUGGUGCGGGGGUAAAAACUCCGGUGGUAUGAGAUGGACCCGCGUUCGAUUAGCCAGUUGGCGGGGUAACGGCCCACCAAAGCGACGAUCGAUAGCCGAUCUGAGAGGAUGACCGGCCACAUUGGGACUGAGACACGGCCCAAACUCCUACGGGAGGCAGCAGUGGGGAAUAUUGCACAAUGGGGGAAACCCUGAUGCAGCGACGCCGCGUGAGUGAAGAAGUAUUUCGGGAUGUAAAGCUCUAUCAGCAGGGAAGAAAAUGACGGUACCUGAGUAAGAAGCCCCGGCUAACUACGUG